rnacentral:rRNA from 1 species
CGGCGGACGGGUGAGUAACGCGUGGGUAACCUGCCUCAUACAGGGGGAUAACAGUUAGAAAUGGCUGCUAAUACCGCAUAAGACCACAGUACUGCAUGGUACAGUGGUAAAAACUCCGGUGGUAUGAGAUGGACCCGCGUCUGAUUAGGUAGUUGGUAAAGUAACGGCCCACCAAGCCGACGAUCAGUAGCCGACCUGAGAGGGUGACCGGCCACAUUGGGACUGAGACACGGCCCAG